rnacentral:rRNA from 1 species
CGAGCACGCGCGUGUGGCAUAUCAAUAAGCGGAGGAAAAGAAACUAACAAGGAUUCCCUUAGUAACGGCGAGUGAAGCGGGAAGAGCUCAAAUUUGAAAUCUUCAAGGUUUUACCUUGACGAAUUGUAGUUUAAAGAAGUGUUUUCUGUUGAAGUUUUGGUAAAAGUUCUUUGGAAUAGGACAUCAUAGAGGGUGAGAAUCCCGUAUUUGACCAUUAUUUUCAGCUGUGUGAUACACUUUCAAAGAGUCGGAUUGUUUGGGAAUGCAGUCCAAAAUGGGUGGUAAAUUUCAUCUAAAGCUAAAUAUUGGCGAGAGACCGAUAGCGAACAAGUACCGUGAGGGAAAGAUGAAAAGAACUUUGAAAAGAGAGUUAAACAGUACGUGAAAUUGUCAAAAGGGAAGCGUUUGACACCAGUGUUGUUUUCUCGAAAAUCAAUUAAAAAAGGCAGGAUUUUGUGUUGUAUUGACCUUAUCAAGCUUUCUGCACUCUUUUCUUGUCUUUUUUAAUGCACUUUUCGUUUAACAAGUCAACAUCAAUUUCUUUUGUUGUAAAAGGGUCAUUGGAAGGUGGCUUUCUUUUCGGAGAAAGUGUUUAUAGCCUUUGGCCUCUGCAAUCGGAGAGAUUGAGGUCUGCAGCGUAGAUCCUUCGGGGUUAGAUACAUUUGUGCUAAGUUAUAGCCUUUCAUAGACAACUUGUUGACUAUGAUCAGUCAUGUAGCUUACUCGCUUAUGCUAUUUUACCUACGCUUAGGAUGUUGAGCGCAUGUCUCUCUCU